UACGGAGGGGGCUAGCGUUGUUCGGAAUUACUGGGCGUAAAGCGCACGUAGGCGGCUUUGUAAGUUAGAGGUGAAAGCCCGGGGCUCAACUCCGGAAUUGCCUUUAAGACUGCACCGCUAGAAUUGUGGAGAGGUAAGUGGAAUUCCGAGUGUAGAGGUGAAAUUCGUAGAUAUUGGGAAGAACACCGGUGGCGAAGGUGGCUCACUGGCUCAUAUCUGACGCUCAGGCGCGACAGCGUGGGGAUCAAACAGG
rnacentral:rRNA from 1 species